rnacentral:rRNA from 1 species
GAUGAACGCUGGCGGCGUGCCUAAUACAUGCAAGUCGAGCGAACAGACGAGGAGCUUGCUCCUCUGACGUUAGCGGCGGACGGGUGAGUAACACGUGGAUAACCUACCUAUGAGACUGGGAUAACUUCGGGAAACCGGAGCUAAUACCGGAUAAUAUAUUGAACCGCAUGGUUCAAUAGUGAAAGACGGUUUUGCUGUCACUUAUAGAUGGAUCCGCGCCGCAUUAGCUAGUUGGUAAGGUAACGGCUUACCAAGGCAACGAUGCGUAGCCGACCUGAGAGGGUGAUCGGCCACACUGGGACUGAGACACGGUCCAAACUCCUAAGGGAGGGAGCAGUAGGGAAUCUUCCGGAAUGGGCGGAAGCUUGACGGAGCAACGCCGCGUGAGUGAUGAAGGUCUUCCGAUCGUAAAACUCUGUUAUUAGGGAAGAACAAAUGUGUAAGUAACUAUGCACGUCUUGACGGUACCUAAUCCGAAAGCCACGGCUAACUACGGG